UACUUCAUCAAACGGAAAGGUUUUAUAUAAAAUAAAUGAAAAGGGAAUCGUGUGAAAAUCACGAGCUGUCGCGCAACUGUAAGUAAUAUCCCAAAAGUUUCUGUCCACGAAUAUCCACUGUGAAAACGGGAAGGAUGACAGAAACUGUUACAAGUCAGGAGACCUGCCUUUACCGAAUGAUCAGU
rnacentral:ncRNA from 2 species